rnacentral:misc_RNA from 1 species
AACCAUUCUCACCUGCGGCUAGACCUGCGGAAGGAUCAUUAAAAAGAGUGUGUACCCCUCUGUAAAAUGAGUGGGUUACCUCCCGUCCUUUGUUGACCUCUUGGGAGGUUAUUUUGAACUUUCUGCUUCGGUGGGGUUAAACCUACCGGAACACCCUCAAAUUCUUAUCAUUUAAAAAUUGUUCAGUCUGAUUUUUGUUAAUAAAAACAAAAAACUUUUAACAACGGAUCUCAGAUCGGA